rnacentral:rRNA from 1 species
GCCUGGGCGGCGUGCCUAAUACAUGCAAGUAGAACGCUGACUACUUUAGCUUGCUAGAGUAGAAGGAGUUGCGAACGGGUGAGUAACGCGUAGGUAACCUGCCUACUAGCGGGGGAUAACUAUUGGAAACGAUAGCUAAUACCGCAUAACAGUGUUUAACACAUGUUAGAUGCUUGAAAGAUGCAAAUGCAUCACUAGUAGAUGGACCUGCGUUGUAUUAGCUAGUUGGUGGGGUAACGGCCUACCAAGGCGACGAUACAUAGCCGACCUGAGAGGGUGAUCGGCCACACUGGGACUGAGACACGGCCCAGACUCCUACGGGAGGCAGCAGUAGGGAAUCUUCGGCAAUGGGGGCAACCCUGACCGAGCAACGCCGCGUGAGUGAAGAAGGUUUUCGGAUCGUAAAGCUCUGUUGUAAGAGAAGAACGUGUGUGAGAGUGGAAAGUUCACACAGUGACGGUAACUUACCAGAAAGGGACGGCUAACUACGUGCCAGCAGCCGCGGUAAUACGUAGGUCCCGAGCGUUGUCCGGAUUUAUUGGGCGUAAAGCGAGCGCAGGCGGUUUAAUAAGUCUGAAGUUAAAGGCAGUGGCUUAACCAUUGUUCGCUUUGGAAACUGUUAAACUUGAGUGCAGAAGGGGAGAGUGGAAUUCCAUGUGUAGCGGUGAAAUGCGUAGAUAUAUGGAGGAACACCGGUGGCGAAAGCGGCUCUCUGGUCUGUAACUGACGCUGAGGCUCGAAAGCGUGGG